UACGUAGGGUGCGAGCGUUGUCCGGAAUUAUUGGGCGUAAAGAGCUCGUAGGCGGUUUGUCGCGUCUGCUGUGAAAACCUAAGGCUCAACCUUGGGCUUGCAGUGGGUACGGGCAGACUAGAGUGCGGUAGGGGUGACUGGAAUUCCUGGUGUAGCGGUGGAAUGCGCAGAUAUCAGGAGGAACACCGAUGGCGAAGGCAGGUCACUGGGCCGCAACUGACGCUGGAGGAGCGGAA
rnacentral:rRNA from 1 species